UGAAUUGUGCAACCUUGUUGACAAAGGGAUGUUGGGGCGUAUAUUUAUUUUUAAUCCACAGUCUGGGUUAGCGCAGCCUCUUCUCUGAAUGAGGAAAACACAGAGGUUCUGAGCGCAGAAGUUAGGUGAUAGGAGGGGGCUUUUUGCGAUGGCACCUGGAAAGUGACAAGGAAAGGACUUUGGAAUAUGCCCCUGAAUCUACAGGACAGAACAGCUGGCGCUCACAUGUAUUCCUCCAGCGCAAACUCAGUAGAGAGUUUGCAGGGAGGCCCCUCCCCUCACAGCUCUCACUGGCUGGCAGACAUGGCUGCGCACAGGUUCUAUCUCCACCCCAGCACCAACCCGUGAAGUUAGAGCCAUCCUCUGUCACUUUACAAGAUGAGUAGAAGCAAAUGUACAAGAAAGUAAUUCAUAGACUGAAGUUUUCCAUCUUGUAAGAAACCCAGCACCGAAGGAGGAAGAGGAAGGCCACAUGGAACAACAGCUGUUCAAAACUACAAACAGGAAGGUGUAUUGUCUAUCGGGUGAUGACCAAAGUGGGGUAAUAAUACAAAAUUUUUGUAUUACAGUGCUAAAUGAGACACACAGGUUUACACUGUACCAUACAGUAAUACAUGAUUCCUAGUGAGAACAUUCUUUACUUUCUGGUGACAAUGACAGCUAAACUACAUUCAUUUUCUUUCAUAGUCAAGUGGCAGUGUGGCUCAAGUUCUGCGAUCUCUGUGUGCUUAAUACAAAUAGCUGUUUUUCAGAUUACUGGUUGGAAAUAG